ACUCAAAGGAAUUGACGGGGACCCGCACAAGCAGCGGAGCAUGUGGUUUAAUUCGAAGCAACGCGAAGAACCUUACCAGGGCUUGACUUCCCACUGACAGGCGUGUAACGGCGCCCUUCUUCGGACAGUGGUGACAGGUGGUGCAUGGUUGUCGUCAGCUCGUGUCGUGAGAUGUUGGGUUAAGUCCCGCAACGAGCGCAACCCUUGUCAUUAGUUGCCAUCAGGUCAUGCUGGGCACUCUAAUGAGACUGCCGGGGACAACUCGGAGGAAGGUGGGGAUGACGUCAAAUCAUCAUGCCCCUUAUGUUCUGGGCUACACACGUGCUACAAUGGCCGGUACAAUGAGACGCAAUACGGCGACGUGGAGCAAAUCACCAAAACCGGUCCCAGUUCGGAUUGCAGGCUGAAACCCGCCUGCAUGAAGUCGGAGUUGCUAGUAAUCGUAAAUCAGAAUGUUACGGUGAAUACGUUCCCGGGUCUUGUACACACCGCCCGU
rnacentral:rRNA from 1 species